rnacentral:SRP_RNA from 1 species
UUAGGGUGCGCCUGCAAUAAAUAGUUACAAACCCCGCCAGGUCCGGAAGGAAGCAACGGUAGUAAUUUUUUUAUGUGUUGGAUGUUAUUCUGAGUG